rnacentral:sRNA from 1 species
AUCUUCUCUAUAUAUAAUCAACAAAAUUGUUUGAAAACAAUAAACCUAAUUAUUUGGUUGAAUGACAUAGAAACUAGACACUUUGCCAAAUAAACAGAAGCAAUUGUUCAUUAUUGAGAAAUAAUAAUAGCGCGUAUUUGCUUCGAGUUUGCUUCAAUGUCUCGCUUGGUAACGAUGUACCCCAGAAAUUCAUCGUACGUUACGCCGAAAGAACACUUUUUGCGGGGUUUAGUUUCAUAUUGUACUUAUUUAAGGUUUCAAAGCAGGUUAUGAGAUGGUCAAUAUGGUUGGUAGCUUUUGUUUAUUUGACGAACAUGUCGUCAAUAUAUACUUCCAUUGCUUUCCCCAUCUGUAGAGCAAACAUUUGAUUGACGAGCUUCUGAUAUCGAGCGCCGACAUUUUUCAGGCCGAAAUGCAUGACUUUAUAGCAAUAUGUCCUUCUAUCUGUUAUAAAUGCGGUAAUCUCCUGAUCAUCCUUGUUUAUUGGGAUUUGGUUAUAUCCUGAGAAAGCGUCCAUAAAUAAUAAUAAUUCGUUGUGGGCCGUGAUCCAAGUUAUAUGAAUUCUUUGAUUUAUAAAGCCUUGUAAGGAAAAAAAUAUGAUUCUAUUUCUUACAUGACAACUUAUUGUAUUUUGAAUUCGUACAAUAAUUUACUUCAGCUUAAUUAAAUAUU